CCGGAAUAAAAGUAGUUAGGUUCUUCAUAACUCAAAGAAUUUGGCGGUUAAUAAAAUUUUCAGAGGAACCUGUGUAUUAAUUGAUAAACCACGAUAGAAGAUACCCUCACGCUAAUUUGUAUACCUCUAUGGGAAUAGAGUGUUUUUGAAAAAUUAUUUUCUUUAUAGAUUUAAUCUUUAAUUUUAGGUCAAGGUGCAGUUUUUUGGGGGUUUAUAUGGGUUAUUUAAAUUUUUAUUUAUUAUUUAAUUCUUAUGGAGCUAAUUUUAGGAUUUGAUAGUAAUUUAAAUUAAUUAGUUUUUUUGAAUUAU
rnacentral:rRNA from 1 species